rnacentral:rRNA from 1 species
ACUCCUACGGGAGGCAGCAGUGGGGAAUAUUGCACAAUGGGCGCAAGCCUGAUGCAGCGACGCCGCGUGAGGGAUGACGGCCUUCGGGUUGUAAACCUCUUUCAGUAGGGAAGAAGCGAAAGUGACGGUACCUGCAGAAGAAGCGCCGGCUAACUACGUGCCAGCAGCCGCGGUAAUACGUAGGGCGCAAGCGUUAUCCGGAAUUAUUGGGCGUAAAGAGCUCGUAGGCGGUUUGUCGCGUCUGCCGUGAAAGUCCGGGGCUCAACUCCGGAUCUGCGGUGGGUACGGGCAGACUAGAGUGAUGUAGGGGAGACUGGAAUUCCUGGUGUAGCGGUGAAAUGCGCAGAUAUCAGGAGGAACACCGAUGGCGAAGGCAGGUCUCUGGGCAUUAACUGACGCUGAGGAGCGAAAGCAUGGGGAGCGAACAGGAUUAGAUACCCUGGUAG